GGGAAAGAUUUGAGGGUUCCAGAGGAGAUUUGAGGUGCUUGGGGAGGGAUUUGGGGGGUCUGGGGAGGAUUUGUGGGAGAUUUAGGAGGGUCUGGGGGGAUUUGGGGGGUCUGGGGGGAUUUGGGGGGUCUGGGGAAAUUCUGGGGGGCUCUGGGGAAAUUUUGGGGGGCUGGGGAGUGGUUUGGGGGGUUUGGGGAGAUACUUAAGGAGUUUGGGAGGAAUUUAGGGGGGUCUGGGGAAGAUUUGGGGGUUCCAGAGGGGAUUUGGGAUGCUUGGGGAGGGAUUUGGGGGGUCUGUGGGGGUUUGGGGAGGAUUUGGGGGAGAUUUAGGAGGGUCUGGGGGGAUUUUUGGGGGAUCAGGGGGGAAUUUUGGGGGGGUCUGGGGGGAUUUGGGGGGGUCUGGGGGGAUUUCGGGGAGUCUGGAGGGAAUUUGGGGGGGCUCUGGCGGGAUUUGGGGGGGUCUGGGGGGAUUUGGGGGGUCAGGGGGGAAUUUUGGGGGGCUCUGGGGGGGUUUUUGACUGAAGCCCCCCCAGGCAGGGCGGUUACGGCGAGCGCUUCCCCUCGGCCUCGUACCGGGACAAUUACGACAACUGAGCUCGGAGCCUCGUGCUGGAUUUUGGAGGGGACCCCGGAUUUUUGUAGCCCCAGGUGUGACAUUAAAGGACAGAGAUCCCCUCACCCCCUCCCCCACUCCGGGGGUCUCCGGCUGGAUUUCGGGGGGUCCUGGGGGAGGGGAAAAAAGGGGAGGAGUUGGGU
rnacentral:lncRNA from 1 species